rnacentral:snRNA from 1 species
AGCACUUUUUUUGCACUUGGGUGAUAUGAAGCACGCUCAGGCUUCAAUAAAAAAAUCUGUUCUUAUCAGUUUAAUAUCUGAUACGUCCCCUAUCUGGGGACCAUAUAUUAAAUGGAUUUUUGGAACAGGGAGAUGGAAGAAGAGCUUGCUCUGUCCACUCCACGCAUCGACCUGGUAUUGCAGUACCUCCAGGACCGGUGCACCUCUC